GAUGAACGCUGGCGGCGUGCCUAAUACAUGCAAGUCGAGCGAACAGACGAGGAGCUUGCUCCUUUGACGUUAGCGGCGGACGGGUGAGUAACACGUAGGUAACCUACCUAUAAGACUGGGAUAACUUCGGGAAACCGGGGCUAAUACCGGAUAAUAUUUCGAACCGCAUGGUUCGAUAGUGAAAGAUGGCUUUGCUCUCACUUAUAGAUGGACCUGCGCCGUAUUAGCUAGUUGGUAAGGUAACGGCUUACCAAGGCAACGAUACGUAGCCGACCUGAGAGGGUGAUCGGCCACACUGGAACUGAGACACGGUCCAGACUCCUACGGGAGGCAGCAGUAGGGAAUCUUCCGCAAUGGGCGAAAGCCUGACGGAGCAACGCCGCGUGAGUGAUGAAGGUCUUCGGAUCGUAAAACUCUGUUAUUAGGGAAGAACAAACGUGUAAGUAACUGUGCACGUCUUGACGGUACCUAAUCAGAAAGCCACGGCUAACUACGUG
rnacentral:rRNA from 1 species